UGAGUAAUGCCUAGGAAUCUGCCUGGUAGUGGGGGACAACGUUUCGAAAGGAACGCUAAUACCGCAUACGUCCUACGGGAGAAAGCAGGGACCUUCGGGCCUUGCGCUAUCAGAUGAGCCUAGGUCGGAUUAGCUAGUUGGUGAGGUAAUGGCUCACCAAGGCGACGAUCCGUAACUGGUCUGAGAGGAUGAUCAGUCACACUGGAACUGAGACACGGUCCAGACUCCUACGGGAGGCAGCAGAC
rnacentral:rRNA from 1 species